AUUGAACGCUGGCGGCAUGCCUUACACAUGCAAGUCGAACGGUAACAGGUCUUCGGAUGCUGACGAGUGGCGAACGGGUGAGUAAUACAUCGGAACGUGCCUAGUAGUGGGGGAUAACUACUCGAAAGAGUGGCUAAUACCGCAUGAGAUCUACGGAUGAAAGCAGGGGAUCGCAAGACCUUGUGCUACUAGAGCGGCCGAUGGAAGAUUAGGUAGUUGGUGGGAUAAAAGCUUACCAAGCCGACGAUCUGUAGCUGGUCUGAGAGGACGAUCAGCCACACUGGGACUGAGACACGGCCCAGACUCCUACGGGAGGCAGCAGUGGGGAAUUUUGGACAAUGUGCGAAAGCCUGAUCCAGCAAUGCCGCGUGCAGGAUGAAGGCCUUCGGGCUGUAAACUGCUUUUGUACGGAACGAAAAGCCCUGGGUUAAUACCCUGGGGUCAUGACGGUACCGUAAGAAUAAGCACCGGCUAACUACGUGCCAGCCGCCGCCGUAACAC
rnacentral:rRNA from 1 species